rnacentral:rRNA from 1 species
UGCGAUCAUACCAGCACUAAUGCACCGGAUCCCAUCAGAACUCCGCAGUUAAGCGUGCUUGGGCGAGACUAGGAUGGGUGACCCCCUGGGAAGUCCUCGUGUUGCA